CCUACGGGAGGCAGCAGUGAGGAAUAUUGGUCAAUGGGCGCUAGCCUGAACCAGCCAAGUAGCGUGAAGGAUGACUGCCCUAUGGGUUGUAAACCUCUUUUAUCUGGGAAUAAAGUGCAGUACGUAUACUGCUUUGCAUGUACCUUGUGAAUAAGGAUCGGCUAACUCCGUGCCAGCAGCCGCGGUAAUACGGAGGAUUCGAGCGUUAUCCGGAUUUCUUUGGGUUAAAGGGAGCGUAGGCGGUUUGUUAAGUCAGUUGUGAAAGUGUGCGGCUCAACCGUGGAAUUGCCGUUGAUACUGGCAUCCUUGAGUACAGUAGAGGUAGGCGGAAUUCGUGGUGUAGCGGUGAAAUGCUUAGAUAUCACGAAGAACUCCGAUUGCGAAGGCAGCAUGCUGGACUGUAACUGACGCUGAUGCUCGAAAGUGUGGGUAUCGAACAGGAUUAGAUACCCUAGUAGUC
rnacentral:rRNA from 1 species